rfam:Echinostoma caproni strain Egypt genome assembly, scaffold: ECPE_scaffold0000718
GCACUGCUGACGAGUUCCAAAUAAGACGAAACAGCGGUCUAGUGC